rnacentral:lncRNA from 10 species
AUACAUAUGUAACUAACCUGCACAUUGUGCACAUGUACCCUAAAACUUAAAGUAUAAUAAUAAUAAAAUUAAAAAAAAGAAAAUAUUUUGAGUGGUCUCUGCAUAUAUGCCUUGUGCUUCAUCUUUACUAGCUAAAAUACUUCUGAUUUUGUGUAGACUAUAUGAUAAUUUCCUGAGAGUAUGUUUUGACUUGAAAAGAUACAUACUAUCAUAGCUAAAAUUUAAUUUAAAAUUUCAUAAUUAUUUAGAAUUUAAAUAAUGUGGUAAAUAACCGUACAUUUUAAAACAUAAUUGAAUGCAGGCAUUAUGAAUUACGGUUGAAGCCAUACAUUAAGGAAUCUGAGAGAAAAUUAUGAAAGGACAGGUGCAGAGGGACAAUGUUGACAGAGUAAAUCAAUUAAGAAAAUGUAUAUUUUUGUGAUUCAUAAGUAUAAUGAUGGAGUUUUCAAAUUCACGUGUGUGAUGUGCCCCCCUCAAACCUCUUUAUGAUGUCAGCAUAUUGCUCAUCUGACAUAAAAAAAUUACAAAAAAAAUAGAAAAUAAAUAAUAUAGAGGAAUACAUCACUUUAGCUGUUUUAUAUGUAGCCAUAGUCACAAGUUAGUCAAAUCAACAAAAAAUCUAUUAAGAUAGUGCACAGUAAUAAUUGUUAUAUCUAUUUUUAUGAAUACCUUAUUUUUAGAGCAGUUUCAGGUUCACAUCAAUAUUGAAAGAACAGUCCAGAGAUUUUUCAUAUACCCCCUUUCCCCAAAUAUGUGAAUCCUCCCCCAUUAUUGACAUCUCCCAUCAGAUUGAUACAUGUGUUACAUUUGAAGUACCAACAUUGAAACAUCAUAAUAACCCCAAGUCCAUAGUUUACAUUAGAGUUCACUCUUGGUGUUACACAUUCUAUGAAUUUGGAUAAGUGAAUAAUGACAUGCAUCCACCAUCAGAGUAUCAUAUAGAGUAGUUUCACUGCCCUAAAAGUCCUGUGUUCUUUGCCUAUUCAUCCUCCUCCUCCCAAUCCUAAUCUUCACUGUCUCCAUAGUUUUAUCUUUUACAAAAUUUUAUAUAGUUGAAAUAGUAACAUAUGCAGCCUUUUCAAAAAGGCUU